GACGAACCGUGCGAACGUUGUUCGGAAUCACUGGGCUUAAAGGGCGCGUAGGCGGGCGGCCAAGUCAGGGGUGAAAGCCCCCGGCUCAACUGGGGAAGUGCCUUUGAUACUGAUCGUCUCGAGGGAGGUAGGGGCGUGCGGAACUUCCGGUGGAGCGGUGAAAUGCGUAGAUAUCGGGAGGAACACCUGUGGCGAAAGCGGCUCACUGGACCACAACUGACGCUGAGGCGCGAAAGUGUGGGGAGCGAACAGG
rnacentral:rRNA from 1 species